GAUGAACGCUAGCGGCAGGCUUAACACAUGCAAGUCGAGGGGCAGCGCAGUGUAGCAAUACAUGGGCGGCGACCGGCGCACGGGUGCGUAACGCGUAUCCAACCUUCCCGUUACUCAGGGAUAGCCUUCCGAAAGGGAGAUUAAUACCUGAUGGUGUUCAAAUUCCGCAUGUUAUUUGAACUAAAGAUUCAUCGGUAACGGAUGGGGAUGCGUGACAUUAGAUAGUAGGCGGGGUAACGGCCCACCUAGUCUACGAUGUCUAGGGGUUCUGAGAGGAAGGUCCCCCACACUGGAACUGAGACACGGUCCAGACUCCUACGGGAGGCAGCAGUGAGGAAUAUUGGUCAAUGGUCGGAAGACUGAACCAGCCAAGUAGCGUGAAGGAUGAAGGUUCUAUGGAUUGUAAACUUCUUUUAUACGGGAAUAAAACCUCCCACGUGUGGGAGCUUGUAUGUACCGUAUGAAUAAGCAUCGGCUAACUCCGUG
rnacentral:rRNA from 1 species